GGCGAGGCUAGGGCUCGGGGGCGGGGUCCCCGAGGGUGGCCGGCUGUGUGGGGGCGAUGCGGGCCUGCAGCGGGCGGGGCCGGGCGUGCCAGGAGCCCCGGGCGGGGGGCGGCGUGAGCCCUUCCCGGGCUGUUGGUGCCGGGGGCGCCGCGAGUCCUGCGAGAAGGUGCGGAGCGUCCCGCGGUGGAGCGGCUUCGGCUGUGCGCGGCCGGGGCUGGCCUGGAGUUGUCCCCGCCACACUGGCGAGCGAUGCAGCCUUGCAAGGGAGUCCUAUCUACAGUCUGCCGUGGUGCUGAAAGCCAGCGAUGAAGGGUGAUUCGUGUGGAAGAACGGGAAGACCAUGAGCAUGGAGGCAGAUGGCCCAUCUGUGCGUGCUGUCGCUGCUGUGGAUUUAGGUACCAUCUGUACCAGAGGCACAUGAAUCUGGUUAAAACUGCUCAUGAGACUGAACUUUGGAAGGCCUAUGCAGAAGGAAAUCACUGGAGGAAAGACUAGAUGUGAAAAUGAGGUGAAACCAGUCCGAGGCUCUGUGCUUCUGUUAACUCCAGCUUGCCCUGCAGUUGGACGCUGGCUUGCUGUUUUCUCUCCUGCCAAAGGGAUGUUCUAUCCAUUAUUGAAGUGGAAUAUUGAAGUCUUCAGCUGUUAAUGUAGAGGUAUUUUCCCUCCAAUUCUUUUAUUUAUUUAUUUAUUUAUUUAUUUAUUUAUUUAUUUAUUUGACAGAGAGACACAGUGAGAGAGGGAACACCAGCAGGGGGAGGGGGAGAGGGAGAAGCAGGUUCCCCGCAGAGCAGGGAGCCCGAUGUGGGACUUGAUCCCAGGACCCUGGGAUCAUGACCUGAGCCGAAGGCAGUCGCUUAACCGACUGAGCCACCCAGGCGCCCUUCCCUCCAAUUCUAUCAAUGUUUAUGUAUGUUUUUGGGUUCCACCUGUUUAGUGCGUACGUGUUUAUAACUAUUAUAUCUUCUUGAUGAAUUGACCCUUUUAUCAAUAUGUAAUGCCAUUUUUUCUUUCUUGUAACAAUUUUUUUAAAAGAUUUUAUUUAUUUAUCUGAGAGAGAGAGAGCAAGCAAGCAUGGGUGCACGAGCAGGGGAAG